rnacentral:rRNA from 1 species
UAAGGUGAAUUGCAAAAUUCAUGGAAUCAUCGAAUCUUUGAACCCACCUUGCGUUCCUUGGUAUUCCUUGAACCUGGCCGGUUUAAUUAUCAGGAAAUUCUCAAAGUAAACCUUUGGUUAAUUCAACUGUUCUUUGCUUGGAUUGGAGGCUUUGC